UAGGGAAUCUUCCACAAUGGGCGAAAGCCUGAUGGAGCAACGCCGCGUGUGUGAUGAAGGGUUUCGGCUCGUAAAACACUGUUCUAAGAGAAGAAUGACAUUGAGAGUAACUGUUCAAUGUGUGACGGUAUCUUUCCAGAAAGGAACGGCUAAAUACGUGCCAG
rnacentral:rRNA from 1 species